CUCUCCUUGACUCCCGACAUCCCGUGACUCGGCUCUUGGCUUUGGAAAGCCCUGCAUGUCGUGCUCCUUAAAGUGCCCCGGUUUAUUGGACAGUAAACUCGGUAGCUCUAUUGUCCGAUGUGGAAUCUCCAGUGAACAGAUGAACUAAAGACAAGGCCAGGCUGUGUGGCUUGACCUUCCCUAAAGGCAAGUGUUUGUUCCCCAUACGCAGGACAGAAGGGGAUCAUGUUGAUGAUGUGUAGUAGUUUGCAUUCUUUCCUUGUUGAAAGAUGACACUGAACUGGCAAAGACAGGGGAGAGGGCAUUAGGAGCUAAAUACUGAAGACUUCACACCCUACGAAAGAGGCCUAUAUAUUCAAUAAAAUGUGAAACUUGA